GGUGCCCAGUCUGUGGUACUAGCCUCCAGCGGUGCCCCCACUGAAGCCCCCGGCCUCUCACCCUGCAUGAUUCCCGGGGCACGUGCCAGGGCCCCAGUCAGGAAGGAACCCCACUUAACAGGCGUAGGCCACGUCAGGGCCUGGUGCUGGGCACCUCACAGCCAUUCUCAACAGUCACAUAGGGUUAGGACUUUUAUCCCCGUGUGAGGAGUGAGGGGGCAUAUGGGAGGGGCUCCUCCUUGGUCCUUACUGUUACCCGUGAUUCCAAGUUCUCUGUUGUAGCCACCUCAAAUUCUUACAUUAACCCCGUUUCUGGGUUUGUCCCGUUUCUAAUUCUGACCACUUUCCGGGGGCUAUUCCCUGGUUAGGAAGCAGCAGCAUAGUGGGGAGAGGUGGAAACCACUGGGGUCCUCACCCCCGAGGUAUGGUGGAGCCACACCCCUCUGGCCCCCAUAGCCCCUGCCACUGAUGGCAGGUUUUAGUUAAAAUCUCUGAUUUGCAGAGCCGUUCCCCCCAAAAUCCAUUUAGGGUAUAAACUGUGUCUGGUCCACAGGGGUCCUCCCCAGCCCACCCAUCGAUGGAGGCUGGGGAGGGCACAAGGCCUGAGGAGAGCAGCUUGGGGAAGGAGGUCCUUCCAUCCUGAAGAGAAUGGAGCAGCCCAGCCUGGCCCUUGAUUGCUCUCCUUGACCUCGGGAGGGUUGUUGAUUAGCCCUCCCCUGCCAGCUGGCUCCUCUGUCGCCACCCAGGGUGCACACGUGGGCCAGCAGGGGGAGGGGGGCUAACACUGCCUCCUGCCCACCCAGCAUCAAGCCACCAGGCCACGGGGCCCCUCUCUGCCUCCCCUCCUCUCUGCUUGCUUCCUGUGGAGGCGCGCAGUUCUAGUCAGAGAGAACUGUGCCCUGAUCCCAGCGCCACCCCCAGCUCACUGCGGGACCCUGAGCUCAGUGCCUCCAUCUUUAUAUAAAAUGUGAGGGUGAGUUCCCAAACUUGGCUGUGAAUCCAAAUCUGCCAGGGAACUGGGAAAAGAUUGCUGGUCCUGCGCCUCCUGCCCAGAAGUUUGGGUUCAGAAGAUUGAGUGGAAACUGGGAAUGGGUAUUCGGGGGCCAGGGUGCUGUGGUGCAGAGACCGGGCACCCAAGGAUUUGAGCCCAUUUUUCCCUGAGUCCGACCCAGGCCCUCAGAGCCUAGCACCGCGUUUGGGCCAUAGCAGAUGCCAAAUUAAGUCUUGAUUACCUGCUAGCAUAAAAAUUCUUGACCUCACUUUUAUCAUCUGCCAAACUAAAUAAGGAGUCUCCCUUUGCCCCUUGAUGAGCCCCCAAAUCUGUCUUGCCAUCACCAUGCCGCCUUGUCCCCUUGGUUCUGGAACCCUACUGCCUAAGUUUGACACCUACUCUGACUGUGUGUCCUUGUGCAAGUUACUUAACCUCUCAGCAUCGGUUUCCCCAAAGGUAAAAUGGGGAGGCUAACGAUAGAAUCUUCUUCCUGGGAUGGUGGUGAGGGGUGGGAUCGUUCGCAUGAAGCACAGGACCUGGCACUGAGAAAGCCUUGGUCAAGGAUCGUAUUGUGACCGUGGCCGCCUUCAUCUCUGGGGUGUUUGUC